UGAUAUUUUAACUUGCGUAUGUAGGCUACCCAACAAUAUGGGUAUUAUUGAUUUGUUUGAUCAUUUUGUCCUACAAUGUCUAAUCCUGAAAUCACAUGAACAGACUGAUGGAGAAAACUACAUCUGUCGACUGAAAUCUUUCCUGUGUGGAGGUUCACACAGUGUUGACACAAUGAGAACAAUGAUGAAGAAACGUUAAACAUUGGUGAUUACCCCUUUUAUUCCUCCUCCUCCUCCUCAUCAUCAUCAGCUUCCUUAUCAGCCUUCUUAAGGUUCUCAGGCUUCUUCAAACUGCAGCAGAAGACACAGGAGGAUUUUCAUCAGUUCAACAGGAGACAAACAGCUGCACAAGUUUACUGACUUCACACAAAACAGCCUUUCAUACCUUUCCAGAAAGCUCUUCAGCUCCUUCAACAAUUUGCUUUGUAGAUUCGUCUUUCUUCUCCUCGGCGUCCGCGCUGCAGCAGAAGACACAGGAGGAUUUUCAUCAGUUCAACAGGAGACAAACCACUGCACAAGUUUACUGACUUCACACAAACUCAGUGAAAAUGAUCCAACUAAAGUCACAAAGUAUAAACACAUAAUUAUGUAAAAAUGUCUAAAAUAAUAAAAGACACUAUAAAAUCC